rnacentral:rRNA from 1 species
UACGUAGGGGGCAAGCGUUAUCCGGAUUUACUGGGUGUAAAGGGAGCGUAGACGGAAUUGCAAGUCUGAUGUGAAAAUCCGGGGCCCAACCCCGGAACUGCAUUGGAAACUGUAUCUCUAGAGUGUCGGAGAGGCAAGUGGAAUUCCUGGUGUAGCGGUGAAAUGCGUAGAUAUCAGGAGGAACACCAGUGGCGAAGGCGGCUUGCUGGACGAUGACUGACGUUGAGGCUCGAAAGCGUGGGGAGCAAACAGG